rnacentral:lncRNA from 1 species
GAAUAUGAGCAGGCAUACAUGGAGGCAGAACGCAGGCACGCCACGGGCCUGAAGCAGGGCUGCCACACGCCACCAUUCGACAACUCAAGGGCACCAUUCAUUCAUGCAGGCUGUCCUGACAAAAUGCCAAGUUAGCAAAAUAAGAUCACACAGUCACUCUUCAUCACAGCUGGAGAAUCUGAAUUUACGAGUAUCUUGCAUCAAAACGCUGCCUCAGAGAGAACAGAAAGUGAAAAUACAGAUUCCUGAAAUCAUACAAUAAGAGUAAAUGGGGCAUAGGAUUGGACAGUUAAGAAGAUGGGUGCACCAAGCAAGUGGUAUGCAGUAAUUAAGGUAAAUACUGGGUUUUGAGAACAAUCACCAAAAAUCCAAUCUCUCAUGCCCAUAUCCCUCCAUUUCCACUUGCAGGGAUGAAACACAAAUGUUUCCUGUACAAACUUUCAGCAAGUUAACGGUCACCUUCAUCAUUUUUCUAAGCUUUUUAGUCUAAUUACCAAAAUAGAGAAGAAGGCUGGGAUUCAGGGUGGAGGCCUUGCUGGAAAUAAAGAAAUGUGCAUCUGGCCAAGCUAUGCCUGGUCCUCUCUCUCAGGAAAGUAAGUCAGGGAAGGGGAGCAGGAAGGUGACGAUGGGCACCGCCAACAUCCCGACCUUCCACAUCACUGGCAGGGAGGGGGUGAAGCAUGGGGCAUGGACAGACCACCCAAGUGGCAGACAGGAGCCUUGGGCUCUAAUACUGGCCACAUUGCCUUCUGAUGGCGUAGAUGAACCAUGUAACCUUGACUUAAAUUUUCAACUUGUGAUAUAUGGAGAGUAAAAUCUGCCCUCCUUCUUUCAGGGGGUUUUUCUGAAGAAAAAAACCUGGCCAGGCACGGUGGCCCACGCCUGUAAUCCCAGCACUUAGGGAGGCCGAGGU